rnacentral:rRNA from 1 species
UACGUAGGGUGCAAGCGUUAAUCGGAAUUACUGGGCGUAAAGCGUGCGCAGGCGGUUGUGCAAGACAGGUGUGAAAUCCCCGGGCUUAACCUGGGAAUGGCGUUUGGGACUGGAUGGCUUGGAUCCGGGAGAGGGAUGCGGAAUUCCAGGUGUAGCGGUGAAAUGCGUAGAUAUCUGGAGGAACACCGGUGGCGAAGGCGGCAUCCUGGACCGGUAUUGACGCUGAGGAGCGAAAGCCAGGGGAGCGAACGGG